rnacentral:rRNA from 1 species
GACGAACGCUGGCGGCGUGCUUAACACAUGCCAGUCGAACGGAAAGGCCCCGCUUUUGUGGGGUGCUCGAGUGGCGAACGGGUGAGUAACACGUGAGUAACCUGCCCUUGACUUUGGGAUAACUUCAGGAAACUGGGGCUAAUACCGGAUAGGAGCUCCUGCUGCAUGGUGGGGGUUGGAAAGUUUCGGCGGUUGGGGAUGGACUCGCGGCUUAUCAGCUUGUUGGUGGGGUAGUGGCUUACCAAGGCUUUGACGGGUAGCCGGCCUGAGAGGGUGACCGGCCACAUUGGGACUGAGAUACGGCCCAGACUCCUACGGGAGGCAGCAGUGGGGAAUAUUGCACAAUGGGCGGAAGCCUGAUGCAGCAACGCCGCGUGCGGGAUGACGGCCUUCGGGUUGUAAACCGCUUUCGCCUGUGACGAAGCGUGAGUGACGGUAAUGGGUAAAGAAGCACCGGCUAACUACGUG